AGGAGGAAAUUUCUCCUCUUCACGGCAUCAUCUCUUCGCUGGAGAAGCUUGGGUUCCCAGACCAAGUUCCCACAAAAAUAAGAGGGAGAGAUAGUAGUUUGGGUAUUUUGGGAAUGAUUUUCCAAAGAAAAAAAUAAUGAAGUUCAAGAGGGAGAGGAAGCCGACGGGAGAAAAGAAGGAGAACCCAGUCAUGAUGAAGGCCUUCUACAUCGCUGCUGCUGUCGCCCACGACUCCAUGGAAGACUGAUCUCCUCUCUAGGGCCGGAUGCAGCCCUAACAAAG
rnacentral:lncRNA from 1 species